UGAGGUAGGUGCAUGUCAAGUGGGAAGGUGUGUAAAAUGUAUUUUACAUAUUGAAUUGGUAUUCUUACUUUUUUUGUGUGUGCAAGUGAAUGGGUUAAAUUAAUCCCCAAUAUUUACUGUAAGAAUUUACAUAUACCAAUAGAAAAAAAUUGUGUCCAUCUUAGAAGAUCAUCCAAGGCUAAGUUUUAUGCAAUCCUUUGUUUUUCC
rnacentral:lncRNA from 1 species